rnacentral:rRNA from 1 species
AUUCCAGCUCCAAUAGCGUAUAUUAAAGUUGUUGCGGUAAAAAAGCUCGUAGUUGGAUUUCUGUCGAGAACAGCCGGUCACGAUUUUGUCGUUGUAUCUGGUUUGGUCUUGGCAUCCUCUUGGGGAACAUUUCUGCGCUUCACUGCGUGGAGUGGUAUUCAAGACUUUUACUUUGAGGAAAUUAGAGUGUUCACGGCAGGCAAUCGCCCUGAAUAUAUUAGCAUGGAAUAAUGAUAUAGGACCUUGGUUCUAUUUUGUUGGUUUCUAGAACUAAGGUAAUGAUUAAUAGGGACAAUUGGGGGCAUUCGUAUUAACGCGUCAGAGGUGGAAUUCUUAGAUUGCGUUACGACGAACUACUGCGAAAGCAUUUGCCAAGGAUGUUUUCAUUG